AUUCUUGAAAUGCAUAUAGGGAUAGUCUUUAUGCCUAAUCAAGCCUAAAACACUUUUUUUUUUUUUUUUUUGAAGGAGUUUCCCUCUUGUUGCCCAGGCUGGAGUGUAAUGGCAUAAUCUUGGCUCACGGUAACCUCUGGCUCACUGCAGCCUCCGCCUCCUGGGUUCGAGUCUCCUGCCUCAGCGUCCUGAGUAGCUGGGAUUACAGGCAUGUGCCACCACGCCCCACUAAUUUUGUAUUUUCAGUAGAGAUGGGGUUUCUCCAUAUUGGUCAGGCUGGUCUCGAACUCCCGAUGUCAGGUGAUCCACCCGCCUCAGCCUCCCAAAGUGCUGGGAUUACAGAUGUGAGCCACCGUGUCCAGACUAAAACACUUUUUUAAAAAGAGAUAUGUGUUACAUAUAAUUAAGCCAGCUAUUAGAAUAAUGGUAUUACUAAACUAUGUUACUAACUUUUGAAAAUUUUUUAGUUUUGCAGUUUUCUUUUUUCCUGCUGCCCCCAAGUUUUGCAGUUUUUAUGACAUGUUAGCAAGUUUUUAUGGUGGAACUUUUCUUUACUGACAGGUGCAUUCCUUGUAAAGGUUCUCGGUUUCCCCCAACCCUUCCACGCCCUGCUGUUGCUAUAUUAUCCUUUAAGCUUCCUUACUGUCAGAUUGCAACAGAUAAAGGACAAAUGGAGGAGCAGUUUUGGCGUUCAGUUACAUUUCACAACCACCUUGAUUAUUUAGCUAAAAAUGGUUAUGAGUAUGAAGAGAGCACUAAAAAUCAAGCAACAAAAGAGCAACAGGAACUUUUAAUGAAAAUGCUUGCGCUUUCUUGUAAACUGGAGCGGGAAUUUCGUUGUGUGGAACUUGCUGAUCUAAUGACUCAAAAUGCUGUGAAUUUAGCCAUUAAAUAUGCUUCUCGCUCUCGGAAAUUAAUACUGGCUCAAAGACUUAGUGAACUGGCUGUAGAGAAGGCAGCUGAAUUGACAGCAACCCAGGUGGAAGAGGAAGAAGAAGAAGAUUUCAGAAGAAAGCUGAAUGCUGGUUACAGUAAUACCGCUACAGAAUGGAGCCAGCCAAGGUUCAGAAAUCAAGUUGAAGAAGAUGCCAAGGACAGUGGAGAAGCUAAUGAUGCAGAAAAACUGGAAAUACAUAAGCAUGGACAGAACUCGUUUCCCAAAAGUACAGAUUCCUCUGAUGUUUCACCUAAGUCAGGUGCAGUUACCUUUAGCAGCCAAGGACGAGUAAAUCCCUUCAAGGUAUCAGCCAGUUCCAAAGAACCAGCCAUGUCAAUGAAUUCAGCACGUUCAACUAAUAUUUUAGAUAAUAUGGCCAAAUCAUCCAAGAAAUCCACUGCACUUAAUCGAACUAUAAAUAAUGAGAAGUCUCCCAUUAUAAAGCCUCUGAUUCCAAAGCCAAAGCCUAAGCAGGUACUGUUUCCACUACCCUCAUCUGCAGUAAGCAGCAUGGGAUCUGUUUGUCUUCAGUUUUGUUCCAUUUCAGAUAUAGGAUAGGAGGCUGUGAUUGUUUUGUUCACUGUUUCAGAUAUAGGAUAGGAG
rnacentral:lncRNA from 1 species